rnacentral:lncRNA from 1 species
GUCGAACCACAUAGGACUAUUUGUCACACACUAUAGAUGCGGAAAACAAAUCUAUAUAAGAGCAUGAUUAAUGAAAGUUUUUGAGGUGAGGUUCUUGGUGAAAUAUAAAAAACCGUUUCUUAAAUGUUAACUAAAAAGAAUAAAAACCGGCUCUUAAACCUUCAUUAAUCAUGCUCUUAGAAUCUUAAUAAGAGAAAAUAUAUCCGAGAAAAUUAUUUCCAGAUUUCUCC